rnacentral:rRNA from 1 species
AGUGAACGCUGGCGGCGUGCCUAAUACAUGCAAGUCGAACGAUGAAGCUUCUAGCUUGCUAGAAUGCUGAUUAGUGGCGCACGGGUGAGUAACGCAUAGGUCAUGUGCCUCUUAGUUUGGGAUAGCCAUUGGAAACGAUGAUUAAUACCAGAUACUCCCUACGGGGGAAAGAUUUAUCGCUAAGAGAUCAGCCUAUGUCCUAUCAGCUUGUUGGUAAGGUAAUGGCUUACCAAGGCUAUGACGGGUAUCCGGCCUGAGAGGGUGAACGGACACACUGGAACUGAGACACGGUCCAGACUCCUACGGGAGGCAGCAGUAGGGAAUAUUGCUCAAUGGGGGAAACCCUGAAGCAGCAACGCCGCGUGGAGGAUGAAGGUUUUAGGAUUGUAAACUCCUUUUGUUAGAGAAGAUAAUGACGGUAUCUAACGAAUAAGCACCGGCUAACUCCGUGCCAGCAGCCGCGGUAAUACGGAGGGUGCAAGCGUUACUCGGAAUCACUGGGCGUAAAGAGCGCGUAGGCGGGAUAGUCAGUCAGGUGUGAAAUCCUAUGGCUUAACCAUAGAACUGCAUUUGAAACUACUAUUCUAGAGUGUGGGAGAGGUAGGUGGAAUUCUUGGUGUAGGGGUAAAAUCCGUAGAGAUCAAGAGGAAUACUCAUUGCGAAGGCGACCUGCUGGAACAUUACUGACGCUGAUUGUGCGAAAGCGUGGGGAGCAAACAGGAUUAGAUACCCUGGUAGUCCACGCCCUAAACGAUGGAUGCUAGUUGUUGGAGGGCUUAGUCUCUCCAGUAAUGCAGCUAACGCAUUAAGCAUCCCGCCUGGGGAGUACGGUCGCAAGAUUAAAACUCAAAGGAAUAGACGGGGACCCGCACAAGCGGUGGAGCAUGUGGUUUAAUUCGAAGAUACACGAAGAACCUUACCUAGGCUUGACAUUGAGAGAAUCCGCUAGAAAUAGUGGAGUGUCUGGCUUGCCAGACCUUGAAAACAGGUGCUGCACGGCUGUCGUCAGCUCGUGUCGUGAGAUGUUGGGUUAAGUCCCGCAACGAGCGCAACCCCCUUUCUUAGUUGCUAACAGGUCAUGCUGAGAACUCUAAGGAUACUGCCUCCGUAAGGAGGAGGAAGGUGGGGACGACGUCAAGUCAUCAUGGCCCUUACGCCUAGGGCUACACACGUGCUACAAUGGGGUGCACAAAGAGAAGCAAUACUGCGAAGUGGAGCCAAUCUUCAAAACACCUCUCAGUUCGGAUUGUAGGCUGCAACUCGCCUGCAUGAAGCUGGAAUCGCUAGUAAUCGCAAAUCAGCCAUGUUGCGGUGAAUACGUUCCCGGGUCUUGUACUCACCGCCCGUCACACCAUGGGAGUUGUGUUUGCCUUAAGUCAGGAUGCUAAAUUGGCUACUGCCCACGGCACACACAGCGACUGGGGUG